UACGUAGGUGACCAGCGUUGUCCGGAUUUACUGGGCGUAAAGAGCGCGCAGGCGGUCGUUCAAGUCGAGUGUGAAAGCCCCCGGCUCAACUGGGGAGGGUCAUUCGAUACUGAUCGACUGGAAGGCAGGAGAGGGAAGCGGAAUUCCCGGUGUAGUGGUGAAAUGCGUAGAUAUCGGGAGGAACACCAGUGGCGAAGGCGGCUUCCUGGCCUGUUCUUGACGCUGAGGCGCGAAGCUAGGGGAGCAAACGGGAUAGAACCCCU
rnacentral:rRNA from 1 species